UUAGGAAUCUUCCACAAUGGGCGCAAGCCUGAUGGAGCGACGCCGCGUGAGGGAUGAAGGUUUUCGGAUCGUAAACCUCUGAAUCAGGGACGAAAGACCAGCUUGACUGGGGAUGACGGUACCUGAGUAAUAGCACCGGCUAACUCCGUGCCAGCAGCCGCGGUAAUACGGAGGGUGCAAGCGUUACCCGGAAUCACUGGGCGUAAAGGGCGUGUAGGCGGUUUGCCAAGUCUGACUUUAAAGACCGAAGCUCAACUUCGGGAAUGGGCCGGAGACUGGCAGACUAGACGGAUGGAGAGGUCACUGGAAUUCCUGGUGUAGCGGUGGAAUGCGUAGAUACCAGGAGGAACACCAACGGCGAAGGCAGGUGACUGGACAUUUAGUGACGCUGAGGCGCGAAAGUGUGGGGAGCAAACC
rnacentral:rRNA from 1 species